UUAGAGUUUGAUCCUGGCUCAGAACGAACGCUGGCGGCGUGGAUAAGACAUGCAAGUCGAGCGGGGAUUUUCUGAUAGCAAUAUUGGGAAGUCCCAGCGGCGCACGGGUGCGUAACACGUGAGCAACCUGCCCUGAAGUGGGGGAUAGCUCGCCGAAAGGCGAAUUAAUACCGCAUGUGGCCAUCUCCUUCGGGAGAGAAGCUAAAGCAGCAAUACGCUUCAGGAUGGGCUCGCGGCCUAUCAGCUUGUUGGCGGGGUAACGGCCCACCAAGGCUUUGACGGGUAGCUGGUCUGAGAGGACGACCAGCCACACUGGGACUGAGACACGGCCCAGACACCUACGGGUGGCAGCAGUCGAGAAUUUUUCUCAAUGGGGGAAACCCUGAAGGAGCGACGCCGCGUGGAGGAAGAAGGUCUUCGGAUUGUAAACUCCUGUCAUUCGGGAACAAGAAAGUGAUAGUACCGGAAGAGGAAGGGACGGCUAACUCUGUGCCAGCAGCCGCGGUAAUACAGAGGUCCCAAGCGUUGUUCGGAUUUAUUGGGCGUAAAGGGUGCGUAGGCGGUCGGGUAAGUCAUGUGUGAAAUCUCGGAGCUCAACUCCGAAACUGCACGCGAUACUGCCCGGCUCGAGGAGUGGAGAGGAGACUGGAAUUCUCGGUGUAGCAGUGAAAUGCGUAGAUAUCGAGAGGAACACCUGUGGCGAAGGCGGGUCUCUGGACACAUCCUGACGCUGAGGCACGAAGGCCAGGGGAGCAAACGGGAUUAGAUACCCCGGUAGUCCUGGCAGUAAACGGUGCGCGUUUGGUAUGGGGAGACUAGACCCUCUCCGUGCCGGAGCUAACGCGUUAAACGCGCCGCCUGGGAAGUACGGCCGCAAGGCUAAAACUCAAAGAAAUUGACGGGGGCCCGCACAAGCGGUGGAGUAUGUGGCUUAAUUCGAUGCAACGCGAAGAACCUUACCCAGGCUUGACAUGCAUCUCUAAGUUGGUGAAAGCCAGCGAGUGUAGCAAUACACAAUUUGCACAGGUGCUGCAUGGCUGCCGUCAGCUCGUGUCGUGAGAUGUUGGGUUAAGUCCCGCAACGAGCGCAACCCCUGUGUCCUGUUGCCACCCGCCAAAACGGAGCACUCUGGACAGACUGCCUGGUAAAGCCAGGAGGAAGGUGGGGACGACGUCAAGUCAGUAUGGCCCUUACGCCUGGGGCUGCACACGUACUACAAUGCCCGGCACAAUGGGAUCCAAAACCGCGAGGUGGAGGAAAUCCAAAAAACCGGGCUCAGUUCGGAUUGGAGGCUGCAACUCGCCUCCAUGAAGCUGGAAUCGCUAGUAAUGGCGCAUCAGCUACGGCGCCGUGAAUACGUUCCCGGGCCUUGUACACACCGCCCGUCACAUCAUGGGAGUCGCUUGUACCCGAAGUGCGUACGCCAACCGCAAGGAGGCAGCGCCAUAAGGUAUGAGUGGUAACUGGGAUGAAGUCGUAACAAGGUAGCCGUAGGGGAACCUGCGGCUGGAUCACCUCCUUA
rnacentral:rRNA from 1 species